GNCUAAUACAUGCAAGUCGAGCGGACAGAAGGGAGCUUGCUCCCGGAUGUUAGCGGCGGACGGGUGAGUAACACGUGGGUAACCUGCCUGUAAGACUGGGAUAACUCCGGGAAACCGGAGCUAAUACCGGAUAGUUCCUUGAACCGCAUGGUUCAAGGAUGAAAGACGGUUUCGGCUGUCACUUACAGAUGGACCCGCGGCGCAUUAGCUAGUUGGUGGGGUAAUGGCUCACCAAGGCGACGAUGCGUAGCCGACCUGAGAGGGUGAUCGGCCACACUGGGACUGAGACACGGCCCAGACUCCUACGGGAGGCAGCAGUAGGGAAUCUUCCGCAAUGGACGAAAGUCUGACGGAGCAACGCCGCGUGAGUGAUGAAGGUUUUCGGAUCGUAAAGCUCUGUUGUUAGGGAAGAACAAGUGCGAGAGUAACUGCUCGCACCUUGACGGUACCUAACCAGAAAGCCACGGCUAACUACGUGCCAGCAGCCGCGGUAAUACGUAGGUGGCAAGCGUUGUCCGGAAUUAUUGGGCGUAAAGGGCUCGCAGGCGGUUUCUUAAGUCUGAUGUGAAAGCCCCCGGCUCAACCGGGGAGGGUCAUUGGAAACUGGGAAACUUGAGUGCAGAAGAGGAGAGUGGAAUUCCACGUGUAGCGGUGAAAUGCGUAGAGAUGUGGAGGAACACCAGUGGCGAAGGCGACUCUCUGGUCUGUAACUGACGCUGAGGAGCGAAAGCGUGGGGAGCGAACAGGAUUAGAUACCCUGGUAGUCCACGCCGUAAACGAUGAGUGCUAAGUGUUAGGGGGUUUCCGCCCCUUAGUGCUGCAGCUAACGCAUUAAGCACUCCGCCUGGGGAGUACGGUCGCAAGACUGAAACUCAAAGGAAUUGACGGGGGCCCGCACAAGCGGUGGAGCAUGUGGGUUUAAUUCGAAGCAACGCGAAGA
rnacentral:rRNA from 1 species